rnacentral:rRNA from 1 species
AUUGAACGCUGGCGGCGUGCUUAACACAUGCAAGUCGAUCGGUAACGCGGGGGCAACCCUGGCGACGAGAGGCGGACGGGUGAGGAACGCUUGGGAAUCUGCCUAUCAGCGGGGGACAACACGGGGAAACUCGUGCUAAUACCGCAUACGCUCUACGGAGGAAAGCCGGGGACCGCAAGGCCUGGCACUGAUAGAUGAGCCCAAGCCGGAUUAGCUAGUUGGCGGGGUAACGGCCCACCAAGGCGACGAUCCGUACCCGGUCGGAGAGGACGUGCAGCCACGCGGGGACUGAGGCACGGCCCAGACUCGUGCGGGAGGCAGCAGUGGGGAAUAUUGGACAAUGGGGGAAACCCUGAUCCAGCGACGCCGCGUGGGUGAAGAAGGCCUGCGGGUUGUAAAGCCCUUUCGGUAGGGACGAAAGCUCUCGACCUAACACGUCGGGAGGUUGACUUAACCUACAAAAGAAGCACCGGCUAACUCUGUGCCAGCCGCCGCGGUAACAC